rnacentral:rRNA from 1 species
UACGUAGGGUGCAAGCGUUAAUCGGAAUUACUGGGCGUAAAGCGCACGUAGGCGGACUGCUAAGUCGGACGUGAAAUCCCUCAGCUUAACUGAGGAAGUGCAUUCGAAACUAGCAGUCUUGAGUACAGGAGAGGGUCGCGGAAUUCCCGGUGUAGAGGUGAAAUUCGUAGAUAUCUGGAGGAAUACCGGUGGCGAAGGCGGUAUCCUGGACCGGCAUUGACGCUGAGGAGCGAAAGCCAGGGGAGCAAACGGG